rnacentral:rRNA from 1 species
GACGAACGCUGGCGGCGUGCCUAAUACAUGCAAGUUGAGCGAUGAAGAUUGGUGCUUGCACCAAUUUGAAGAGCAGCGAACGGGUGAGUAACGCGUGGGGAAUCUGCCUUUGAGCGGGGGACAACAUUUGGAAACGAAUGCUAAUACCGCAUAAUAACUUUAAACAUAAGUUUUAAGUUUGAAAGAUGCAAUUGCAUCACUCAAAGAUGAUCCCGCGUUGUAUUAGCUAGUUGGUGAGGUAAAGGCUCACCAAGGCGAUGAUACAUAGCCGACCUGAGAGGGUGAUCGGCCACAUUGGGACUGAGACACGGCCCAAACUCCUACGGGAGGCAGCAGUAGGGAAUCUUCGGCAAUGGACGAAAGUCUGACCGAGCAACGCCGCGUGAGUGAAGAAGGUGUUCGGAUCGUAAAACUCUGUUGGUAGAGAAGAACGUUGGUGAGAGUGGAAAGCUCAUCAAGUGACGGUAACUACCCAGAAAGGGACGGCUAACUACGU